GACUGCUAGUGUUAGGGGGUUUCCAGCCCUCUUAGUGCUGCAGCUAACGCAUUAAGCACUCCGCCUGGGGAGUACGGUCGCAAGACUGAAACUCAAAGGAAUUGACGGGGGCCCGCACAAGCGGUGGAGCAUGUGGUUUAAUUCGAAGCAACGCGAAGAACCUUACCAGGUCUUGACAUCCUCUGACAACCCUAAAGAUAGGGGUUUCCCUUCGGGGACAGAGUGACAGGUGGUGCAUGGUUGUCGCCAGCUCGUGUCGUGAGAUGUUGGGUUAAGUCCCGCAACGAGCGCAACCCUUGAUCUUAGUUGCCAGCAUUCAGUUGGGCACUCUAAGGUGACUGCCGGUGACAAACCGGAGGAAGGUGGGGAUGACGU
rnacentral:rRNA from 1 species